rnacentral:lncRNA from 1 species
UAGUCACCCUGUGCCCAAGUCACAAUAAUGCCCCCUGACAAUCCUAGAGAUUCCACUGCAUAGAAUCCCCAAGACCUUGGAACUGCCGCUCUAGCCUUCUGAAGGCUUCGCCCGGAUAGUCGGGUCUCAAACAAAACACAAAUUUCAGGUUUGUGCUGGUGCACCAACCUGCGAAAAGCUGGGGCAAAGGAGGGCUUCCCUGCACCCCGGCAAUUCCAAAGGAGGGCUCUCAUGGUGCACAUGGUGCGUCGGCAUGACCCACCUCCCUUGGGCCACUACCGCAUCUUGGAUCCAAAUCCACAUCCUCAUCACACACCACUUCCCCUCCCUUCUCCAAUUCACUGUGCAUAACCCCCAUAGCAGACGCCAUCAGCCGCUGCACAGCAUUGUUAUGUGACUCACUGUGAAUCUGUGCCAAAUGUCCCUCUGUCACUGCUGAAUUCACACCCAAAAUCUUCUUGGAUCCUUCCCCAAACCCCUCACCACGGCGUGCCGGCUCCUCCCUACUUGGAACACAAAACGUGCUUCCCACCAGAG